AUAUUUUUUAAGGUACUCAUUGAUGUUAAGAUGCUGGCAAGAUAAACCCGAAGACAGACCUUCCUUUACCAUGAUAUGCGAUGAGUUCAAACAAUACUGUAACACAACCAAGGAUUAUAUCAACCUUGACGUGUUUGAAGAAGCUUUGUACGUCAACUUCGAUGUCCUUUAAAAAUGAAUGGAAGAUCUUCAGAUAGAUGUUUAUCCUCAAGGAAAAAAUCAUCUCAUUUUACCCUUGUUGAAGAUUUAUAGGAUAGCAUUCAAAACAGCUAAACUGACGUUGACUGUUUUUUCAAUACUCAUCAUUGCACUCGCAUCAACAUCGUAGCACUCCCAAUUUCCUUCGAAAUGAAAUCCUACUAAAUUAAAAUCACUGUAAUUGCAGCUUUCCUUCCCGGGGGGUCCCCCCUAAACAUGGGUGCGGGUGUGCCGCUGGGACAACAAAACCCUGAUCCUGUUCCAGAGUGAAAUCGCUGAAAACUAUAUCCUGGUUGGCGGCACGUCCCCGUAUAGCGAAUAUAGGGGAGAACCCCCCCACCCCCCGGGCUUUCCUAAAAGUGCAUGGAGUAGGAUCGAGUAGCAAGCUCGAAUUUAAUCAUUUUCAUGUAUGACAGAAAUACAAGAUUUUGUACUGGAUUUCGUCAACUUCAAAUUACACGUAUGACUCAUACGUGUACGUAUUUCGGAAAUAAAUAAAUGAUUUAUAAUUCAAAAUA